UACUGUUCUUGUUGCUGGUGCUUUUACUUCUCUUGGACUUUGCCCUUCUCCUUAUAAGGCUUAACGAGAACACGAGAAUCGCAGAUGAAAUGCUGGUUCCCUUUAGCUAAAAUGAGCUUCACCGUCU